rnacentral:RNase_P_RNA from 1 species
GGAGUUGGCUGGACAGCCGCCGCCCCGCGCGGAGGAAAGUCCGGGCUCCGCAGGACAAGGUGCCAGGUAAUGCCUGGGGGGCGCGAGCCCACGGAAAGUGCCACAGAAAACAUACCGCCCAAGUCCCCAGUGGACCGGUAAGGGUGAAAAGGUGCGGUAAGAGCGCACCGCGUUGCCGGUAACGGUAACGGCACGGUAAACCCCACCUGGAGCAAGACCAAAUAGGGGAGUAACAACGUGUGGUCCGCACGACUCCCGGGUAGGUCGCUACAGGCGUAUGGUGACAUACGUCGCAGAUGAAUGGCUGUCCCAGACAGAACCCGGCUUAUAGGCCAACUCCUUUC